UAAGAGUAAUGAAUGUACGAACAAUUCCCUUCUCUUACGCCGGCUCCUCUUUGUCUUGUACGUUUGCCGGAUCUUCUUUUAACCCCUCUCUUUUCGCUGCUCGCCAAACACUCCCUUUACCCCACCCCAAAUGAACGUUACACUUACACUCCUUUAACAACCCGACUUUUAUGCUUUCCAAAUCUCGCCGCCCGCCAAUAUGAAAACACUUAUUUGCCUCCUCCUCUUCUGUUUCACGUUACCCUUCUCUCCAACUGACGCCUACUAUUUUUCUUCUGACUUGGCAUCUCUUCUCAGCUUCAAGAAUUCCGUGUCUCGCGAUCCCUCGAAUCUUCUCGCCACCUGGAACUCAACGACCGACCACUGCACGUGGUUCGGUGUCACGUGCGAUCGUUUCACCGGCAGAGUAACCGGUUUGGCUCUCGUCGGAGCCGUGACGUCGUCUUCCAAUGUCAUUGCCGGAACUCUUCCAGCUUCCAUCUCCGAGCUGGCCGAGCUCCGUACCUUGUCCAUUCCCCACAAUGUGUUUUCCGGCCAGAUCCCGGCGAGUAUCGGAGAGCUUCGGUUUUUGGAAGUUGUGGAGUUGCAGGGAAAUAACUUCUCCGGCGAGAUACCGUACGAGAUAAGCAAGUUGGAGGCUCUUCGCGUGCUCAAUUUGUCGUUUAAUUUGCUCAGCGGUGGAGUGCCGAGAAGAGUGAUUGGUGGUGGAAAUUUGAGUGUGAUUGAUUUGUCGAAUAAUCAAUUAGCUGGUGGAGUGGUGAUUGAUUCUGUAAGUAAAUGCGAGUUUUUAGAGCAUUUGAAGCUUUCUAAUAAUUUCUUGACUGAGAAUAUUCCCAAGGAAAUUGGAAAAUGUAGAAACUUGAGGACACUGAUGCUUGACGGUAACAUUCUAGAAGGUCCGAUUCCGGCCGAGAUUGGACGGAUUUCGGAGCUCCGUGUUCUUGAUGUUUCUAGGAAUAGUCUUACCGAUAGGAUUCCGGUAGAGUUAGCGAAUUGCAGAAAGUUGUCAGUUGUUGCGUUGACGAACUUGAAUGAAGUAAAUGACAAUGAUGGUAGUUUGAAAGGAGAGUUUAACGCUUUUGAUGGUGGUGUGCCUUAUGAGUUGUUGAUGAGUUCGAGUUUACAGAUCUUGUGGGCGCCGAGAGGGAAUCUUGGAGGGAGAUUGCCUGACAACUGGAAUGACUCUUGCUCGCUUAGAGUGCUGAAUUUGGGGCAGAAUGGUUUCAACGGUGUGUUGCCCAAAAGUUUAGGGAAUUGUAAGAAUCUAACUUAUUUGGAUUUGAGUUUGAAUAAUUUGGUUGGGUAUUUGCCGAUGCAGCUGCGAGUUCCAUGUAUGAUGUACUUCAAUGUUAGUCAGAAUAACAUAACAGGCGUUCUCACAAGACACGAGGAUGCAAAUUGCGGUAGUUCUAGCUUGAUUUCUUUUGGGGAUGAUUUCAGUUUUUUAGAUUUGGAAGAUGUACAGAUUGCUUAUGCUAAUAUUCCUUUUUGGGUAUCAACGUCGAACAAGAUCUUUGUGAUUAUCCAUGAUUUCAGUAGCAAUAGGUUCUCCGGUACUUUGCCUGUAUUUGCACUAGGAGAUGAAUUCAUGGCGAGUAAGAGUAAACCUGUUUACAGAUUGUUACUGAACAAUAACAUGUUUAAUGAGUCUCUUCCUGGAGAGCUAGUCUCAAACUGCAGUGAUCUGCUGAGCCUUUCAGUCAACUUGAGUGCAAACCAGUUGUCGGGUAUGAUUGAUAAGGGUUUGUUUCUUAACUGUCUAACCUUAAUGGAGUUUGAAGCGGCUAACAAUCAGAUUGGUGGGCCAAUUGCUUCUGGUGUUGAUAAGUUGAUGAAGCUUCAGCGUCUUGAUUUAAGUGGAAACAGGGUUUCUGGAUCUCUGCCUUAUCAAUUGGGAAAGUUGAAAUUUCUGAAAUGGAUUUUUCUUGGAGGGAACAAUAUAACAGGAGAAAUUCCAUCUGAAUUUGGUAAGUUGAGUUCUCUUACAGUUUUAGAUCUUUCUCAUAAUGUUCUCACAGGAUCCAUCCCUGCAAGUUUGUCAAACGCUACAGCUCUUGAAACUUUGUUACUUGACCACAAUCAGCUUUCUGGUGAGAUACCUUCAUCUUUCUCGACCCUCCUUAGUCUUGCUACACUGGAUAUUUCUUUCAAUAACCUGUCCGGCCGUAUACCCCAUCUUCACCACCAAAUAGAUUGCAAUUCUUUUAAUGAAAAUAAGUACCUCGGUCCAUGUCCAGAUACCAACUCUACUGGACCGGAAAAAAUUCCUGUUCAGCUUAGUCAUGAUAGAUUGCAGAGUCGGAAAAGAUUAAAAUCAUUCAUCAUUGCAGUGGUAACUUCGGCUUCUGCUGUUCUGUGCAUAGCCUCCGUGAUAGUCUUUGUUAUUUUCAGGAGGAGAAGAUUUAGGAGACUCGCUAGUCUGAGGGGGAAAGUGGUUGUCACCUUUGCAGAAACUCCAACUGAACUGACCUAUGAUAAUGUGGUUAGAGCUACUGGGAACUUCAGUAUUGGCAACCUAAUUGGUACAGGAGGCUUCGGGUCAACUUAUAAAGCAGAAUUGGUCCCUGGUUACCUGGUGGCUGUAAAGAAGCUCUAUUUGGGAAGAUUCCAAGGUAUCCAACAAUUUGAUGCUGAGAUAAGAACACUAGGACGUAUUCGACAUAAGAACCUUGUAACUCUUAUAGGGUAUUAUGUGGGAGAAGCUGAAAUGUUCUUAAUUUACAACUAUCUUUCUGGUGGAAACCUUGAUACCUUCAUACACAAGCAAUCGGGCAAAAAUGUACAGUGGUCAGUGAUUCUCAACAUAGCUAUUGACAUAGCACAGGCUCUUGCUUACCUCCACUAUUCAUGUGUUCCCCGGAUAGUUCAUCGGGAUAUUAAGCCUAGCAAUAUCCUACUUGAUGAGGAGCUUAAUGCUUACCUGUCAGACUUUGGUUUGGCUAGGCUUUUAGAAGUUUCUGAAACUCAUGCAACAACUGAUGUGGCUGGCACAUUUGGGUAUGUGGCACCAGAAUAUGCAACCACAUGCAGGGUUUCUGAUAAAGCAGAUGUUUAUAGCUUUGGUGUGGUGCUCUUAGAACUAAUGUCAGGGAAAAAAUCCCUUGAUCCAUCAUUUUUUGAGUAUGGAAAUGGGUUCAAUAUUGUCUCAUGGGCCAAGAUGCUGAUGAAGGAGGGACGGUCUUCUGAGCUUUUCUCUCCGGCAUUAUGGGAAGCAGGGCCUAAAGAGAAUUUGUUGGGAAUGCUAAGGCUUGCUACCGGCUGUACAGUAGAGACACUUUCUGUUAGGCCAUCAGUGAAGCAGGUUCUCGAGAAAUUGAAGCAGUUGAAAUGAUGAGAACUCUACAGCAUAAUCCAUAUUCUACAAGAUGGCUCCGACCCAAGUGGAACUGCUGCUGCUUGGCAUCAAAAUUCAGGGACAUCACUCAUCUUAUCUAAGGUUAUUUACAAUGUCCAUGGACCUGACUGCUUUUUAAUUAGAACAGUUUCCUCAUGAUGACAUUUGAGUGGAAAUUUUGUUCUUUGGUUGGCAUCAAAUUCAGUGAUCUGGUGACAUGUUCAUCACCACGUUAGGUUUGUAUUGGCUGCAAUAGAACAGCAGAAUUGACUGGAAAGAUGAAAGGAUAUGCAAAUAUAUGAUGUUCAGCGGAGAUCAGCAAAUUGAUGGCUAGCUGGUAAGGGAAACAAAAUGACAUGAUCUAUCAAUGAUGUUCUACUUCCUAUAGGUAGCUUCAUCCAUACUAACUUCUUUUCCCAACUCCGUAAAUUUACGUUGACAAUGUACAGCAUCUUUUGCAUAUACGAUUAAUUAUUUUAUUUUGAAGA